rnacentral:rRNA from 1 species
UUUAACUGAGCGUUCAGUUACUUGACGUAGACCCGAAACCGGGCGACCUACCCAUGAGCAGGAUGAAGCGAAAGUAAAAUUUCGUGGAGGUCCGAACCCACGAGCGUUGAAAAGCUCGGGGAUGACUUGUGGGUAGCGGUGAAAUUCCAAUCGAGCCCGGAGAUAGCUGGUUCUCCCCGAAAUAGCUUUAGGGCUAGCCUCAAGGUGAGAGAUACGGAGGUAGAGCACUGAAUGUCCUAGGGGGUAUUGCACCUACCGAAGACUAUCAAACUCCGAAUGCCGUCAUCUUAUACUUGGGAGUCAGACUGUGGGUGAUAAGAUUCAUAGUCGAAAGGGCAACAGCCCAGAUCGUCAGCUAAGGUCCCUAAAUGUAAGUUAAGUGGUAAAGGAUGUGGGAUUGCACAGACAACCAGGAUGUUGGCUUAGAAGCAGCCACUCAUUCAAAGAGUGCGUAAUAGCUCACUGGUCGAGUGAUCCUGCGCCGAAGAUUUCCGGGGCUAAAACUUACUACCGAAGCUACGGCAUCAGUAAUGAUGGGUAGGGGAGCUUCCCAUACGGGUUGAAGCAUGACCGUAAGGACAUGUGGACAGUAUGGGAGUGAGAAUGUUGGCAUGAGUAGCGAGAUGUGGGUGAGAAUCCCACAGGCCGUAAACCCAAGGUUUCCAGGGGAAGG